CCCCUCCCUCCUCCCCCUUCCCUCCUCCAGGCUUCUCCCUCCCUCCUUUUCUUCCUCACUAUCUCCACCCUCCUCCUUCUGCCUCCGCCUUUGGGGAGGGACUUCGCCGCCCCGCGCCAGCAUCCAGGGUCGAGGUUCUCCACUCCUAUCCUUGCGACGCAGGCCCAGACCCCUCCCCUCCGGUCUCGGCUCCACAUUCUGCCCCAUCUCAUCCGAUCUCCUUGCCCAGUGCCACGCUGAACUCUUUUUGGCCUGGUCGUUUCUGCUCUACUUCUCCAAGUAAGGCCCCUCCUCUUGCGUCCCCUGGUUCCAGUGAGGGGUAGGAAGGUCGGCACCCAGCCUCCUCCAGCAAGAAAAUGCCAUCGGGGGAGGGGCCUGCAAGGUCAGAGGAACCAGAGACUGUGACUACUGGACCAAAGGUUCCAACUGGAGGGGCCGGUAUCCUGGUGUCUUACAGCCCGGGGCCUGUGUCAUCUUUCUCUCAAAGGAUGGUCUCAGUACACUGGCGACGUGCACCUAGCAGUAUAAACAAACAUCAGAAGAGAAAACACAUUGAAAAAGUGGCUCCAAAGGCGGUGUGCAAGUCAGGACGUGCACGGCCCACGAGUGGCUCAGUAGAAGCA